UCACAGUAGGCUGUGUGACCAAUUGACUGUGUCACAGUAUAUAUGUCCACGUUGGCUGUGUGAACUGUAGGCAGUGUCACAGUAGGAUGUGUCACAGUAGCAUUGUGAACAGUAGGCUCAGUCAAAAUAGGAUAUGUCACAGUAGGCUGUGUGACCAAUUGACUGUGUCACAGUAUGAUAUGGCACAUUGGCUGUGUGAACUGUAGGCUGUGUCACAGUAGGAUGUUUGAAGAGUAGGCUGUGUCACAGUAGGAUAUAUCACAGUAGUCUUUGUCACAGUGGUCUGUAAAUAGUACAUUUUAUCACAGUAGGAUGUGUCACAUUAGAAUUCUGAACAGUAGGCUCUGCCAAAAUAGGAUAUGUCACAGUAGGCUGUGU